rnacentral:tRNA from 1 species
GGCGCUGGAGUCACCAAGUGCCUUCUAAGCACUUGGCCGCAGGUUCGAGUCCUGCCGGGGGCG